rnacentral:rRNA from 1 species
AACUAACGCUGGCGGCGCGCCUAAUACAUGCAAGUCGAACGAUGUAGCAAUACAUAGUGGCGCACGGGAGAGUAACACGUGGAUAAUCUCCCCUCGAGAGAAGAAUAACUAGUCGAAAGAUUGGCUAAUACUUCAUAAGACCACAGAAACUAAUGUUUCAGGGGUAAAAGUCGUAAGACGCUUGAGGAUGAGUCUGCGUCCCAUUAGCUAGUUGGUGAGGUAACGGCUCACCAAGGCGACGAUGGGUAGCUGGUCUGAGAGGAUGAUCAGCCUCACUGGAACUGACACACGGUCCAGACUCCUACGGGAGGCAGCAGUAGGGAAUAUUGCACAAUGGAGGAAACUCUGAUGCAGCGACGCCGCGUGAGUGAUGAAGGACUUCGGUUUGUAAAGCUCUGUUGUCAGGGAAUAAAAAAUGAAUGUACCUGACGAGAAAGGACCGGCGUAACUUACGUGCCAGCAGCCGCGGUAAU